ACUCAAAUGAAUUGACGGGGGCCCGCACAAGCGGUGGAGCAUGGGGAUUAAUUCGUCACUAACCGAAGAACCUUACCAGGGUUUGACAUCCGCGGAAAGGGCGUGAAAGCGUUCCCCUCCGGGGUAACUCGGACCGCGAGACAGGUGUUGCAUGGCUGUCGUCAGCUCGUGUCGUGAGAUGUUGGGUUAAGUCCCGCAACGAGCGCAACCCUCACGCGAUGUUGCCAGCGUGAAAGACGGGAACUCUUCGCGAACUGCCCGGGUAACCGGGAGGAAGGUGGGGAUGACGUCAAGUCGGCAUGGCCCUUACACCCUGGGCUUCACCCAUGCUACAAUGGGCGCGACAGAGGGAGCGCAAGACCGCGAGGUGGAGCCAAUCCCAAAAAGGCGCUCUCAGUUCGGAUUGCAGGCUGCAACUCGCCUGCAUGAAGUCGGAAUCGCUAGUAACCGCCGGUCAGCUAAACGGCGGUGAAUACGUUCCCGGGCCUUGCACACACCGCCCGU
rnacentral:rRNA from 1 species